GAAUAAUUCGAAUUUCGAACCACCGUUGUGCAGCAUUCGUCGACUUAGGUUGUUUCUGGAACCUACGCGUUAGUCUCUCUUUCUGUCUCUGUCGAUGGCUCCAUGGCCACCAUGAUUGGAGUUGAGAAAGGCUUCACCUCAGCUCAUGUGCGACACCCAACUCUCCUUAUCCACCCUCAACUUCACCACUUUUGUGGUGAAAUUGCUGCUUCAUUGUCUAUUGUUUGGCUGCAAUGUUUCAAGCAAAAAAGUAGCUGUUGUAUGGGUGCACUUGUUGCAUGUCUGGGUAAUAAGAGAAACUUUAAUAGCAAUACUUCUGUAGCAGUCAUUGGAGGACCUCAUGCCAGUAGCCAUGCUCUUAAUAACCCCUCUGGAAGAUUGGUUACUGUUGGUGGCAUGCUGAAAUACACAUCUGGUGAAAUUUAUUCAGUCCUUCAAGCAGGCAGCCUUCAACACUGGUUUAAAAAUUGGCAAACACUUAGGAAACACAAAUUGACAGCUAGCACUUUUGCUGGCGCUAUUGGAUUUUGGCCUCGGCGAAGGACCCAGCUUUGGUUAGAGAAGAUCGGUGCUAUUGAACCUUUUUCUGGAAACCUUGCCACCAGUUGGAGCAAUAUCAAAGAGGAGGAAGCACUUGAAAGAUACAAACUGAUAACUGGAAAUACUGUAUUGUUUCCUGAAUUUCAGGUCUAUGGUGCAAACUCAGAAGACAACUGGCUAGCUGCUUCACCAGAUGGUAUAGUUGACGGGCUGGUGUAUGAGUUGCCUUCUUGUGGAGUACUGGAGAUAAAGUGUCCAUAUUUCAAUGGAGACAUGGGUAAAGCUUUCCCUUGGUCUCGAAUUCCAAUUUACUAUAUUCCUCAAGCUCAGGGUUUAAUGGAGAUCCUAGGAAGGGAUUGGAUGGAUUUUUAUGUUUGGACUCCUAACGGUAGUAGUCUAUUCAGGUUGCAUCGUGAUGCAGAUUAUUGGGAUGUAAUGAAAAUGGCACUAUCUGAUUUCUGGUGGAAGCAUGUUCAGCCAGCAAGAGAGUUGUAUAAUAGUAAUGUAAUGACAAAUCCCCUUUUUCAAUUAAGAUCUUUGAGACCUGCUCGUAGACAUGAGUUAUGUAGUUGUAUAGUUCAUAAAAGCAAACACAUUGUUGAUAAUUCAAAGUUGUUGAUGCGUGAGAUACAUGGGAAACUGCAAAAUUGAUAUCUCCAGCUGUUAGAUGGGAGUAAUUAGUAUAGUAAAAAUUUCUUUGUUAUAGAUUCCAUGACAUAUGAGUGUUUAGUUUAGAUCAAUUAGUUUAUGAAGAAAAUGAUAUUGCUGAAGGAUCAUAUUAUGAAUUUAUGGUGUUGAUUAUAAAACCAUCAACGAGGAAAGAUGCAGAGUUGAAGAGUUGAUUAUUAAUUAUGGUCAUUUGAAGCUGGAGAGUGAGAGAGACAAACUUAAGAGGUUAUAGAACUUAACAACAUUGAGACAUCUGAUACUCAGAAAGUUGAGAGUUUGACUACAAGUAUACUUCUCAAAUCUCUUCGACAUUUUUUUUGAAUCUUACAGAGAACAAUAAAAUCAUCUAAUACUUUAAUUGAGUAAAAUGCUCAUAAUAGGAUAUUUGGAUUUACAUGCUAUAAAGUCCAGCUUGAGGAUGCCGGACUACAUUCCUUUUCUCUUCUUCUCUUUGAUUUUGCCUGAGAUGAAGACUAUUUCUCUUCUUGUAGUCAGAGUGACCCAGUCCUUUUGGCUCCAGCAAGGUAUUUUCUUAGACCUAAUGAACUUGAAUUGAAUCUUCAGUUGUAAUUUUGAUCUUGAUUGGUUGUUAACUUGUUUGUUCUUAUUGCAAUUUGCAUAGUAUGAUAUAUAUGAUUGUUUGGACGGAGUUAUCUCUUAUAUACUAAAUGUGAACUUGUAAAUAUUUUCCCUCUUGUGGUGUGUUAGAUAUAAAACCGUUCAUAUGCCUUCAUCCAAUAGCUUAAGCUUUUGGAAAGAGUUGGUUUAUGACAUGGUGUUACCACUUCAAUUAUACUUAAUACGGUCAUGACACUAUGGUCAUUUCCAAAAACGACUCAUGUUAACAAGAUGCUGAAUUGAGAAUGGAUAUAUUGCCGUCUGAGUAGUAUAUUUGUAUUCAGCAAGCAGUCUUAAUUAAACCUCUUGGAAAGCUUCAGUUUGUUUGAGUAUGAAAUUUUGUUGCAUGCUGGAUUCAUACUUAAGCUCUCAUUUUAGUUACAUGUUACUCUCUUGUUGUCAGCAUAUGCUUAUCUUAAACUUCUGAUAGAUUCCUAUUUUUGUAGGCCUCAACCCCUAAUUACAAGUUCUCUAUAAAGACAUGAAUACAAGAUUGUGAAGGAAAUUACAUUCUUCAUUGAAGGACAAGUCUUUCUGAAAAUGUGAAGACAUUGGGUUCUGAGCCUUUGUUUCGGAUACCUGCGAUUAAAUACAUUUUCUCAGAGUUAACUGUAAAGUUAUACCUUGAAAGCUAUUGCAAAAGAAAAUUCAUGAAAGUGUCUGGUAAGUUAUGACUUUGACAUCUUUUCAGGUAGGACUGCUCAUAGGCAUGUCCUUGGCUGGGAUGCUGGGUGCAUCUUUUGGACAUCUAGCUACUUUUUUCACCAAGUAUGUUAAAGUAUUGUAGAUUGUCAGACAUGGGGUGCUAGUAUACUUUAUAUUGUUUAAUAAUUUGUUGGAUUUUCUUUAUCUCUCUGUCUUAACAAUUUUCUUGUUGCCAUCUGUAAUUGUUGCUAGUUUGUCGUGCUUCAAAUCUCAACUUUUUAAUGCUCUGAAUGGUCUCCAACAAUCCAACAUGAUGUUUUGGAUAUGAAGCUUAUUCCAUUGAAUGUUGGUUGCUUAUAUAGUGAGAUUUAGUUAUCCUAUCCUUACCCUGGUAUAUUUUAUCAUCCGAAUCUUCAUGAUAAUUGUAUUAUCUAGUCAGCUUUUCUGGUAGUGCCCUUCUCUUAUUGACCGCUUGACUCUCUUCACAUGCCUAUGAAUGGAGGCAGGUUUGUUUGGUAAUUUGACACAUCGCCGUUACAGGUUUUUUAUUUUGUGAAAACGCUUAUUCUUCAUUGUUAAAGGCAUGCAUGAUUGAUUAGGCUGAUUUACUGUUUUGGAACCUGCUGCUAGUACCGCAAUUUUGCUCUCAUUUGCUCAGAUGUGGUGGCCAUGCUAAGCUAAACAUUGUAGCUUCUCUAUUGGAAUUUCUUCUCCUUAAUGUACAUUAUGAUUACUGCAAUCUUCCCAUCAAGGGAGGGUAAAAAAGGAUAUUUGGAGUGAUUUGAUCAUAUCGUUGAGGCAAACUUGUAUACAAAGCGUACUUCAAUUCUAAUUUUGACUUUGUUUUCUUCCAAGGGUGGCUAGUUUAAGGAUAAUUGCAUGAUUAACAAGUUGGAAAUGGAUAAUAGGGUUGAUAGAGAUUUUAACUCCAUUGCUGUAGAGAUUACUAUUUUUAAAGUCUCUCUACUUGAAUACGUCCUUGUGCCCUUUCAUUCAGACGUUGGAUUGGUGACCGUUAACUCCAGAAAAUGCUGAGAUUGGAGACCUUUCGAAGAAGAGGGGAGGAUGGCUGUUUGGGAUCUUCAUAAUGUGCUCUCUGCACCUUAUAAUCCUCAGGCAUCAACAAAUUAAUGAGGUUUUGGUUGUAGAAUGCAUAUGAUCAAUUGUUAGAGCACAAUACAAUAUUAUGUUUUGUUCUAUAUAAAUUUUGAUACAGAA